rnacentral:rRNA from 1 species
UUAAAUUGAAGAGUUUGAUCAUAGCUCAGAUUGAACGCUGGCGGCAGGCCUAACACAUGCAAGUCGAACGGUAACAGGAAGAAGCUUGCUUCUU